AUUGAACGCUGGCGGCAGGCCUAACACAUGCAAGUCGGGCGAGCGGCGGACGGGUGAGUAAUGUAUGGGGAUCUGCCUGAUGGCGGGGGAUAACUACUGGAAACGGUAGCUAAUACCGCAUACCAUCAGAUGAACCCAUAUGGGAUUAGCUAGUGGGUGAGGUAACGGCUUACCUAGGCGACCAGCCCUAGCUGGUCUGAGAGGAUGAUCAGACAGACUGGGACUGGGACACCGCCCAGACGCCUACGGGAGGCAGAAGUGGGGAAUAUUGCACUAUGCGCGCAAGCCUGAUGCAGCCAUGCCGCGUGUAUGAAGAAGGCCUUCGGGUUGUAAACCUCUUUCGCUAACGAACGGGUAGGUGGAGAAGAAGCGCCGGCUAACUACGUGCCAGCAGCCGCGGUAAUAC
rnacentral:rRNA from 1 species